rnacentral:rRNA from 1 species
AGAGUUUGAUCCUGGCUCAGGAUGAACGCUAGCGACAGGCUUAACACAUGCAAGUCGAGGGGCAGCGGGGUGUAGCAAUACACCGCCGGCGACCGGCGCACGGGUGAGUAACGCGUAUGCAACUUGCCUAUCAGAGGGGGAUAACCCGGCGAAAGUCGGACUAAUACCGCAUGAAGCAGGGGCCCCGCAUGGGGAUAUUUGCUAAAGAUUCAUCGCUGAUAGAUAGGCAUGCGUUCCAUUAGGCAGUUGGCGGGGUAACGGCCCACCAAACCGACGAUGGAUAGGGGUUCUGAGAGGAAGGUCCCCCACAUUGGUACUGAGACACGGACCAAACUCCUACGGGAGGCAGCAGUGAGGAAUAUUGGUCAAUGGCCGAGAGGCUGAACCAGCCAAGUCGCGUGAGGGAUGAAGGUUCUAUGGAUCGUAAACCUCUUUUAUAAGGGAAUAAAGCGCGGGACGUGUCCCGUUUUGUAUGUACCUUAUGAAUAAGGAUCGGCUAACUCCGUGCCAGCAGCCGCGGUAAUACGGAGGAUCCGAGCGUUAUCCGGAUUUAUUGGGUUUAAAGGGUGCGUAGGCGGCCUUUUAAGUCAGCGGUGAAAGUCUGUGGCUCAACCAUAGAAUUGCCGUUGAAACUGGGAGGCUUGAGUAUGUUUGAGGCAGGCGGAAUGCGUGGUGUAGCGGUGAAAUGCUUAGAUAUCACGCAGAACCCCGAUUGCGAAGGCAGCCUGCCAAGCCAUUACUGACGCUGAUGCACGAAAGCGUGGGGAUCAAACAGGAUUAGAUACCCUGGUAGUCCACGCAGUAAACGAUGAUCACUAGCUGUUUGCGAUACACUGUAAGCGGCACAGCGAAAGCGUUAAGUGAUCCACCUGGGGAGUACGCCGGCAACGGUGAAACUCAAAGGAAUUGACGGGGGCCCGCACAAGCGGAGGAACAUGUGGUUUAAUUCGAUGAUACGCGAGGAACCUUACCCGGGUUUGAACGCAUUUUGACAGCUCUGGAAACAGAGCCUCUAGCAAUAGCGAUUUGCGAGGUGCUGCAUGGUUGUCGUCAGCCCGUGCCGUGAGGUGUCGGCUUAAGUGCCAUAACGAGCGCAGCCCUUGCCACUAGUUACUAACAGGUAAAGCUGAGGACUCUGGUGGGACUGCCAGCGUAAGCUGCGAGGAAGGCGGGGAUGACGUCAAAUCAGCACGGCCCUUACAUCCGGGGCGACACACGUGUUACAAUGGCGUGGACAAAGGGAGGCCACCUGGCGACAGGGAGCGAAUCCCCAAACCACGUCUCAGUUCGGAUCGGAGUCUGCAACCCGACUCCGUGAAGCUGGAUUCGCUAGUAAUCGCGCAUCAGCCAUGGCGCGGUGAAUACGUUCCCGGGCCUUGUACACACCGCCCGUCAAGCCAUGGGAGCCGGGGGUACCUGAAGUCCGUAACCGAAAGGAUCGGCCUAGGGUAAAACUGGUGACUGGGGCUAAGUCGUAACAAGGU